GACGAACGCCGGCGGCGUGCCUAAUACAUGCAAGUAGAACGCUGAAGGAGGAGCUUGCUUCUCUGGAUGAGUUGCGAACGGGUGAGUAACGCGUAGGUAACCUGCCUGGUAGCGGGGGAUAACUAUUGGAAACGAUAGCUAAUACCGCAUAAUAGUAGAUGUUGCAUGACAUUUACUUAAAAGGUGCAAUUGCAUCACUACCAGAUGGACCUGCGUUGUAUUAGCUAGUUGGUGGGGUAACGGCUCACCAAGGCGACGAUACAUAGCCGACCUGAGAGGGUGAUCGGCCACACUGGGACUGAGACACGGCCCAGACUCCUACGGGAGGCAGCAGUAGGGAAUCUUCGGCAAUGGACGGAAGUCUGACCGAGCAACGCCGCGUGAGUGAAGAAGGUUUUCGGAUCGUAAAGCUCUGUUGUAAGAGAAGAAACGAGUGUGAGAAGUGGAAAAGUUUCAACAACUGUGACGGAUUUUACCA
rnacentral:rRNA from 1 species